rnacentral:rRNA from 1 species
GGUGAAAAGCACCCCGGAAGGGGAGUGAAAUAGAACCUGAAACCGUGUGCUUACAAGUAGUCAGAGCCCGUUAAUGGGUGAUGGCGUGCCUUUUGUAGAAUGAACCGGCGAGUUACGAUUUGAUGCAAGGUUAAGCAGUAAAUGUGGAGCCGUAGCGAAAGCGAGUCUGAAUAGGGCGUUUAGUAUUUGGUCGUAGACCCGAAACCAGGUGAUCUACCCUUGGUCAGGUUGAAGUUCAGGUAACACUGAAUGGAGGACCGAACCGACUUACGUUGAAAAGUGAGCGGAUGAACUGAGGGUAGCGGAGAAAUUCCAAUCGAACCUGGAGAUAGCUGGUUCUCUCCGAAAUAGCUUUAGGGCUAGCCUCAAGUGAUGAUUAUUGGAGGUAGAGCACUGUUUGGACGAGGGGCCCCUCUCGGGUUACCGAAUUCAGACAAACUCCGAAUGCCAAUUAAUUUAACUUGGGAGUCAGAACAUGGGUGAUAAGGUCCGUGUUCGAAAGGGAAACAGCCCAGACCACCAGCUAAGGUCCCAAAAUAUAUGUUAAGUGGAAAAGGAUGUGGCGUUGCCCAGACAACUAGGAUGUUGGCUUAGAAGCAGCCAUCAUUUAAAGAGUGCGUAAUAGCUCACUAGUCGAGUGACACUGCGCCGAAAAUGUACCGGGGCUAAACAUAUUACCGAAGCUGUGGAUUGUCCUUUGGACAAUGGUAGGAGAGCGUUCUAAGGGCGUUGAAGCAUGAUCGUAAGGACAUGUGGAGCGCUUAGAAGUGAGAAUGCCGGUGUGAGUAGCGAAAGACGGGUGAGAAUCCCGUCCACCGAUUGACUAAGGUUUCCAGAGGAAGGCUCGUCCGCUCUGGGUUAGUCGGGUCCUAAGCUGAGGCCGACAGGCGUAGGCGAUGGAUAACAGGUUGAUAUUCCUGUACCACCUAUAAUCGUUUUAAUCGAUGGGGGGACGCAGUAGGAUAGGCGAAGCGUGCGAUUGGAUUGCACGUCUAAGCAGUAAGGCUGAGUAUUAGGCAAAUCCGGUACUCAUUAAGGCUGAGCUGUGAUGGGGAGAAGACAUUGUGUCUUCGAGUCGUUGAUUUCACACUGCCGAGAAAAGCCUCUAGAUAGAAAAUAGGUGCCCGUACCGCAAACCGACACAGGUAGUCAAGAUGAGAAUUCUAAGGUGAGCGAGCGAACUCUCGUUAAGGAACUCGGCAAAAUGACCCCGUAACUUCGGGAGAAGGGGUGCUCUUUAGGGUUAACGCCCAGAAGAGCCGCAGUGAAUAGGCCCAAGCGACUGUUUAUCAAAAACACAGGUCUCUGCUAAACCGUAAGGUGAUGUAUAGGGGCUGACGCCUGCCCGGUGCUGGAAGGUUAAGAGGAGUGGUUAGCUUCUGCGAAGCUACGAAUCGAAGCCCCAGUAAACGGCGGCCGUAACUAUAACGGUCCUAAGGUAGCGAAAUUCCUUGUCGGGUAAGUUCCGACCCGCACGAAAGGCGUAACGAUUUGGGCACUGUCUCAACGAGAGACUCGGUGAAAUCAUAGUACCUGUGAAGAUGCAGGUUACCCGCGACAGGACGGAAAGACCCCGUGGAGCUUUACUGUAGCCUGAUAUUGAAAUUCGGCACAGCUUGUACAGGAUAGGUAGGAGCCUUUGAAACGUGAGCGCUAGCUUACGUGGAGGCGCUGGUGGGAUACUACCCUAGCUGUGUUGGCUUUCUAACCCGCACCACUUAUCGUGGUGGGAGACAGUGUCAGGCGGGCAGUUUGACUGGGGCGGUCGCCUCCUAAAAGGUAACGGAGGCGCUCAAAGGUUCCCUCAGAAUGGUUGGAAAUCAUUCAUAGAGUGUAAAGGCAUAAGGGAGCUUGACUGCGAGACCUACAAGUCGAGCAGGGUCGAAAGACGGACUUAGUGAUCCGGUGGUUCCGCAUGGAAGGGCCAUCGCUCAACGGAUAAAAGCUACCCCGGGGAUAACAGGCUUAUCUCCCCCAAGAGUUCACAUCGACGGGGAGGUUUGGCACCUCGAUGUCGGCUCAUCGCAUCCUGGGGCUGUAGUCGGUCCCAAGGGUUGGGCUGUUCGCCCAUUAAAGCGGUACGCGAGCUGGGUUCAGAACGUCGUGAGACAGUUCGGUCCCUAUCCGUCGUGGGCGUAGGAAAUUUGAGAGGAGCUGUCCUUAGUACGAGAGGACCGGGAUGGACAUACCUCUGGUGUACCAGUUGUCGUGCCAACGGCAUAGCUGGGUAGCUAUGUGUGGACGGGAUAAGUGCUGAAAGCAUCUAAGCAUGAAGCCCCCCUCAAGAUGAGAUUUCCCAACUUCGGUUAUAAGAUCCCUCAAAGAUGAUGAGGUUAAUAGGUUC